rnacentral:tRNA from 2 species
AUAAGAUGGCCGAAUUAAGGUGGUGGUUUGUAAUUCCAUUUAUGGAGCGAAAAGUUUCUCUUAUCA